GGCCAGAGCCCUGCCUUUCUAGAGAAGGGUAAUAAUUUUGUCCACUCACUGGUUCAUUCAUUUCAGCAAGUCCUGACCUGUGGAUUCACUGAGGAAUCUAAAGUUUAUUGGUAUAGACUUACACCUGGGAAAACUCAAUAUGAAGUUACUUCUCCCUAGUGAAUGCUUCUAAUCAGGGGUGAAAGAGAAGACACCUGUAUGUUUUCAGCCUUUCAACUCAGGCAACAGUCAGGAAUGCUGGCAGAAAUUUUCAGGAGGUUUUUUUCAGGUCCUCAUGUACUCAUUGCCCUGUACUCAGUUAUGGGAGUAACCAAUGAUGAAAGAGAUGACUUGGCAGUUCUUGAUGAUAAGGACAGCCACAGCAUUGGGGUGGUUUGACAAGCAUCUCUUAAAUCAGACAUGCUGACUAAACCAGCCAGUUUUGCUGGUUCAUGUACCUAAUUAUGAAAACCCCUUCCUCUCCUCUAUAUCAGCUGAGGCAUUUUCAACCUCAGCAAUUCAUUACGUGGCCUCAUUAACAGUUGCCUUAGCCCAGCUGAGAAGAAUCUACUGAAUUGAGGGUGGAGUUUAAAACCACUGUCAAGAUCAGUGCUUACCAAAUGAUGACUUUACAGAGAUGUCUAGCUUAAUGUGCUUGUAACAAUGAGGCCACAUCCUCUAUGCAAAUAUCACCCUUCACAGGUUAAACCUGCCAUCAGCAGUGUUACACAGAUGGUUCAUACUUCCAGAGGUGGACCUGCUUUCUGCGGAGCUUUCUGUUCCUCACAAAUGUUCAUGUUAUCAUCACAACACCCAUGUGUGUUUGUGUUAACUGAGUGUCAUUGCCUCUUUAUGAAAUACCAAAAAUGACACAAAUAGGGAAUGCAAUACAACUACAAGGUUAUGCUUCCCUUUCUUCUGUGUCUGUUUCAUGACUCUGAUACCUGUUUGUAAUGAACAAACAGCCUCUAGCCAGAACGUAAAUCUCAAAAAAGAGCAGCAGGGUUUAAUUGGAAGUUGCAACAGUGAUACCGUUCCCUUCAUCCAGAAAGAUCCCUCCAGAACAGAAUGGAAGGGAACGGGGCAUUUCCCACAGUAGCACCACUGGGCCACCCAAGGACAGCAGGACAGAUACCAGACACAUUGACUGUUUUCCACUGAUCUAUAAAAAAUACAUGUGCUGACCUCAGAGAGCUCUUUCCCAGCAGUGUGAGCUGAUUUGAUCCUAUUUAGAGAGACUGUGUAUGGCUGUAUCAGUAUCGUCGGUAACUUUAGAAAAAUCCUUUGGAUUCUCCUUCAGGUUUCUUCCAAGUUUAAAUACAUUAGCAUUUAUUAUAUACUUACUCUGCUCCUCAGAAGUGUAUUCCAUCUCUCCUUAGGACUUAAUCAGUGCUGACAUCUUCAUAGAAGCUAGAAUUGAGUCCUUAGACAUUUGUACAACUUUACAUUUUUGUAACCUUCAGAUAAAGGAAAAUAAAAAGCAUCUUCUCCCGAGAACCUAAGUUACACUGUCUAAUACUUUAUUUUGUCUGUAACAUCAAGAGUUAUUUCUACACUGAAGUAGCUAGUGUUUAUAUGAAAACAAAAGAAAAAGGAAUAAAUCCUUAAAUAUUCUGGUCCUAUCUGCAUUCUUGACCAUAUACCUUACAUCACAGCCUCAGGCAUUUAAAGACUUAAAUGCAAAGAUUCAAAGA